GGGCGCGUAGCUCAGCCGGGAGAGCACCUCGCUUACACCGAGGGGGUCGGCGGUUCGAACCCGUCCGCGCCCAC
rnacentral:tRNA from 1 species